CUGCCUCUCUAUUGCUGUAAAAUUAGCUUUUGUAGCAGCAAUAGUAGUAAAGAUUUGAAAAAAAUUAUACUAAAAAAUUAAUAUAUUUAGAAACAAGGGCUGGAAACCCAGGUGCUUAAAAAUUCAAAUGGAGUCGCUAAAGGGUAUGCCUAAUUAUAUAUUUAGAAAACACCUUGCUUUUCUCAAAACUUUAGAUUCUGUUUCUGGUUACCUUAAAGCCUUUGAGAUCUUACACUUCACAAUUAAGCUUUUAGCGGUGUUUAGAUCGAAAAGUGCAAAAAUUAUACAUUAGUGACACUAGCUGGAAAACGUCACAAAAGGUAAGGCAUUAGCAACGUUUUUUAAAUAAAUGCCGCAAAAGGGUAGAAUUAUAGUAACAUUUUUCUUAUAAACAUCAUAAAAGGUCAGCAAUAGCGACGUCUUUUCAUAAACGCCGUAAAUAUGUAUUAAAUUUUUUCAAAAUAGGGUCGUUUUAUUAACCCCAAAACCCCAAAUUCUUUUCCCCAAAUCAAUUCCCCCUCUUCUCAAAAUCAAAGUUUUUUUUUCCCAAACCCCUUUCUUUUUUCCCCAAUUUCUUUCCCCAAAUCAAUUCUCCCUCUCCCCAAAAUCCCUAAGUUUCUUUCCCAGACCCCUUUCUGUUUUUCCCAAUUUUUUUCCCAAAUCAAUUCCCCUACCCCAAAAUCCCUAAUUUUUUUAGAAAUCCCGUUUUUUUUUUCCUGAAUUUCUUUUCCCCAAAUCAGUUCUCCCCUCCCCGAUAUAUGCGCAAAAUUGAUAUUUUGUUGAAGAAGAUAAAGGUUGGUGAUUGCUUUUGGUACAGAGAUAUAUAUCAUCUCAUUUGUUCCUUGUUCUCGAUUUGAGAUCGGCACGGUUUUCAAAGUUUUCGUCGCUUUCUCCAACCUGCAAUGCUUCCAUUCCUAGCUGGUGUACUAUCUAUUGAAAGAACUUGUAAGGAAGUCGAUUGCUGAAAUUCAGAUAAUAUGCCUAGAAGAAGAUUGCGAGAUCUAAGUAUUAUUCAGAAUCCUCUAAAUUCAGAAGAAACAAAUAGUGAACAACAGACUACUAUUGAACCUUUUAAUGUUUUGAAUACAGCUGACGAAACUGCAGAAAUUCAAACUGAAAGUGGUGGGAGGCACAAAACUCGAGGAGGUACGCUAUUAAAAGAUUUAUACGAUCUAAAUUCUGUCGAGUGUGUCAAAGUAUCUAGAAAUAGUCAUGAUCAGCCUAUUAGAUCAGAAUCUCGACUUUUAGUAGGAUACUUGGGUAUUAUAGCACGAAAUGUCAAUUUAUUGCCAAUAAACUACUAGUCAUGGCAUCAUAUGCCUGAUAGUAACAAAAAUCAAGCUCUCGAUAAUAUUAAGGAGAGAUUUUUUUUAGAGGUCUUGGAUAAUUAUGUGAAGAAAACAUUAGGAAAGAAAUGGAGAGACAAUACAAGUACUUUAAAGAAGGAAUAUUUUAGGAAAAAUAUUUCCCUCGAAGAGAAAUUGCGAAAUGUGCCGCCAAGAAUGCUGAGGUACCAAUGGGAAGAUGCAGUUAUAUUUUGGAAUUCAAAAAAAACGAGAGGAACUGUCAUCUGGUCAAAAAGUUGGACGCCUUCAGCUUUUUGACAUUACACAUAGAAAGAAAGAUGGAUCUCCUAUAACUAUUGAAGCUGUAGAAAUUAUGGAGAAAUUAAAGGAUAAAAGGGCGAAGUAUGAAGCAAUCACUUCAAGUGAUAGUUUUGUUAAUCUGGAUGACAUUGAUAACAGAAUUAUUACUGAAGUUUUGGGUCUUGAAAGGUAUGGUAGGGUUCGAUUUCAAAGAUCUUUUGUUAACCCAACCCAAUUUUUUGGACCCAGCUCGCAGUAAUAUAUGCCUUCGGCAAAUCAGGCUCAAGCUAAAGUUCAGAAGUUAAGAGACCAGAUGGCUCAGAUGCAAGCGAGCACAGUUGAACAAAUCGCUCAACUUAAAGCAGAGGCUCAAAGAAAAUAUGAAGAACUCCAGCUACAAUUUAAAACGGAGGUAGCAGCGAGAGAAGUAGAAGUAACAAGAAAAUAUGAUGAACUCCAGCUACAGCUUCAGAAUAUCAUGAAAAUGUUUCAGCAGUCACAGAAUCGAUCAUCUUAGACUUUUGUUUUCUUAUUGUGAGAAUAUCUUAAUAAUAUAACUUUUGAAUAUAAUAUAUUUUGUUAUUUCAUUUAUUAAUUUAGAUCAUAUACAUAUUUCUUUCA